rnacentral:lncRNA from 1 species
UUACAUAUUUUGUCUUUAUUGUCUUUAACCAUUUUUCUGCAGAUUUCAGUUUGCGUUUUUUCGUUUUUCAGUGGAUCAGCAUUUGAAAUCCCUGGCUGACCGGGGAAAUUACAUUCAAUCUUCCUGUUUUCUGCAAAAUGAACAAUUAAUCCAACCCCUACUGCUAAAACUAAAGCAAGUAGUACCAAAACGAAUCCUGUCGAUGUUUUAACCCGACAGCUAUUCCGCUCUUUGUGUACGGAUUCAUUGGAAACACCGGCUAUUUCAGACAUAGCAUACUUCCCCAUGUCGGAAAACACUAUGUUCUCCGAGGAGCUCAUACCUGUCCGCAGACCUCAAUAGAGUCAACACUAUCUUGAAG